rnacentral:lncRNA from 1 species
UUUUCUCAUUUUCACUUUCCAUUGUCUGGCGUCCCCUUCCCACAGCAUCCUUUAGGGGCGCAAAAACGCCGUUUGGCAUCCCCCCGAAACUACACUGAGAGCAGGAAAAAAGUGACGCACUCACUGGGCUAUUUACACGGCCGCGUAUUUUUGUGAUGAGAGGACGUGCCACCACAAUGAGACUCUAUGAAGAGACAGCAGAUUAGGACAUUUCCUCUAAAAUGAGUCAACAAGAGGAGAGAGAGGAGGACACUGCCUCUAUAAACUGUGAUCAACCCAUGAAGAGUCAGCCCUCUGCCUUCAGUGACGCAGAAAUUACCUCUGAGCCCAACAUCACAAGGAGGAAGAGACAGAGAUCAGAGUCUCCAGAACUCAGUGGUGUGUCUGUGAAGAGUGACAGGUCUAUGGAGAAACCCCCUAUAUUCAGUGAUUCAGCAGUGACCUCUGGCUCUCCGUUAGUAUAAACAUUUACUUGCUACUUUAUAUUGUGCAUCUC